rnacentral:SRP_RNA from 1 species
CCGUGCUAGGUGUGGAAUUAGCGGUGCCCUGCACUCGCAAUCCGCUCCAGCGAGACCGAACGCCCGCCUGAGGGUCUCUUGCCUUCGGGGUCAGUACGCCGCGGGCGGCGUUGACGGCCAGGUCCCGCGCAAUGACGGCCCGCGAAUCAGGUCAGGUCCGGAAGGAAGCAGCCUUAAGCGGUAUCCGGCAUGUGCCGCGGAGCAGCCUGGCCCGAGCAAGCCACGGCGGGCACGCCCGAGAGACAUCACUCGACGGCGGGCCCGCACGG